rnacentral:rRNA from 1 species
AUGCAUCUGAGCGAGAACGAGGGGAUCGAGGGCGUGCGGUUCGCGGUGACUGGCGGGCAGGGCUUCGUCGGCGCCGCGCUAUGCCUAGAGUUGAUCCGCCGCGGCGCCCUGGAGGUCUGCUCUCUCGACGGCUCGACCUGCGCGAUUCCUCCUCUUGGUCCCAGUAGCUCCUCGAUGCCAGUGUCCGCUUCUUCCAAGGCAAUGAGGGAAGUAGAUGGGCAUGGCUGA